UGGGGAAUCUUGCGCAAUGGGGGCAACCCUGACGCAGCAACGCCGCGUGCGGGAUGGAGGCCUUCGGGUUGUAAACCGCUUUCAGUGGGGAAGAAACAUGACGGUACCCACAGAAGAAGCUCCGGCUAACUACGUGCCAGCAGCCGCGGUAAUACGUAGGGAGCGAGCGUUAUCCGGAUUCAUUGGGCGUAAAGGGCGCGUAGGCGGCCCGUUAAGCCAGGUGUCAAAUCGAGGGGCUCAACCUCCGCACGCACCUGGAACUGGCGGGCUCGAGUCCGGUAGGGGAAGACGGAACUCCCAGUGUAGCGGUGAAAUGCGCAGAUAUUGGGAGGAACACCGAUGGCGAAGGCAGUCUUCUGGGCCGGCACUGACGCUGAGGCGCGAAAGCUGGGGGAGCGAACAGG
rnacentral:rRNA from 2 species